CCUACGGGAGGCAGCAGUAAGGAAUAUUGGACAAUGGAGGCAACUCUGAUCCAGCCAUGCCGCGUGAAGGAAUAAGGCCCUAUGGGUUGUAAACUUCUUUUAGACGGGACAAAACCCUUACGUGUAAAGGGUUGAUGGUACUGUCAGAAUAAGCAUCGGCUAACUUCGUGC
rnacentral:rRNA from 1 species